AUUGAACGCUGGCGGCAGGCCUAACACAUGCAAGUCGAGCGAGCGGCGGACGGGUGAGUAAUGUAUGGGGACUGCCCGAUAGAGGGGGAUAACUACUGGAAACGGUAGCUAAUACCGCAUACUAUCGGAUAACCCAUAUGGGAUUAGCUAGUAGGUGAGGUAAUGGCUCACCUAGGCGACGAUCCCUAGCUGGUCUGAGAGGAUGAUCAGCCACACGGGGACUGAGACACGGCCCAGACUCCUAGGGAGGCAGAGGUGGGGAAUAUUGCACAAGGGGGGCAAGCCUGAGCCAGCAAUGCGGCGUGUAGGAAGAAGGCCUUAGGGUUGUAAAGUAUUUUCAGUCGGGAGGCGUUACCGAAAGAAGAAGCACCGGCUAACUCCGUGCCAGCAGCCGCGGUAAUAC
rnacentral:rRNA from 1 species